UUCUUUUAUUUUUCAGUUUUCACAUCUGCGAUCUGUCUGCCUCACUCAUGCUCAUCGGUUUAAAGACCGCCUCAGCCUCUCUCAGUCUCUGUCAUUAUUCACAAUCGUUGAUCAAUUGUGGCUGAUUCUUGCUAAAAACUCUGUAUUCAAAGUCUAUUUUUACUGAAAACUGAUUAUUCAUGGUCGAUUUUGUUGAAAACUAAAGAGA
rnacentral:lncRNA from 1 species